GAGAUGCGGUCGUCACGGUCUCCAUGGCAUCGACAAAAAUCUGAGCAACCGUCUCCCAGGAAACAGCAAUACGACCAACACAUUCCCCGUUUUUGGGACUGGCACAUCAUGCUGUCGCUGUGAACGUAUUUUAUUUAGACAAAGUUGAUUCGCCUAUUUUAAGAACACUGAGGUGAUAUUAGCCAUCAAGUUUAGCUCGAGUUUAGCGCGAUAUUGUUUGUUACAACAUGCUAGCAGUAACUGACUUUGCCAGGGAGCCUUUGCUCGAGCACGUGAAUUAUUUCACAAAUGGGGGGGGUGUCAUAAUUCCAGAAUCUACAAGACCUCUCUGCCCUCUUAUCCACGCAGGACGAGGAUGAUGAAGAUGAUUGUAAGGUGAAAAUCCAACUGCCAGACACCAAAGCAACAGAUAUAGUCCUGGAUGGAUGUGAAGGAGAAAGUCCUUGUUCUGCAAACACCAUACUUCUAAGUUGCUUGCCUGUCAUCUUUCUGCAAAGAGUUCCAGGAUAUCAAUCCACAGCCAGAAAACUCUUUGCUACAAUUUGCUGACCUCCUCUCAUGCUCCUUUUUUCUUCAUAAGGAGAGAAGUGUUUUAUCUCUAUCUACAACAUCUGUCAUCUCAGCCAUGACUGAAAAUCCCCUCUUUUCCUCUCCCUUUGUCCAGAUGAGCAUCGGUGGUCCGAGGUGCAGGCUUCAAACCUGUAGCUGCUUAUCGGCAGAGUGGUUCAAUUCCACCUUUCGGGCGUAAAUUCUAAGCGCUCAAAUGUAUAGACUUUGAUCCCCUUAUAAUAUUCAUAGGAAUUCGCUAAUAGAUGUUCUAGGCUAAAACAACAAAAUCAUUUGUAAUAGUGCUCAUGGAAAUAAAUAGCUACUCUUGUUGAAACUACA